rnacentral:pre_miRNA from 1 species
CUUGUACUCCCUCUGUCCGAAAAUACUUGUCACUGAAAUGGAUGUAUCUAGAUGUAUUUUAGUUCUAGACACAUCCAUUUUGAUGACAAGUAAUUCCGGACGGAGGGAGUACUUG